UGCCUGGUUCAGUAUGUCAGCCUUCUGCUUUGCUGUGCUGUAGGUCAGGCCAUCUUUUUUCAGUGGGGAUACACGGGUACUUGGGAAUACCGAAAACUACUCCAUUACCGAAAACUACCGAAAACCAGUUUUGAUUACCGAAAACUACUUAUAUUUCUAAAAGUAUUACUGUUUUGGAAUUUAAGUUAAUAUAUUCUGAUAACAUAUAAUAAUAGAUAUUAACAGACGAAAUUUUGAAGAAAUUUGACAUUUUUAAAGUGGUUUAAUUUGGAUUUUAUUAAAAAGAGUGAUAAUUGUAUACCGAGUUACUUCCCUUUGAUAAAAUAAUCGAAUAGUAUUAAAUGUCAUUGUCGUCACAAGUUUGUUUUAUUUGAAAAUAAUGUUAUAAAUAAUUGUAUUAUUAAACAUUAUCAAAUUAUGAUUGCAUAUGAUUUUUUAAAGACCAGUGUUUUAGAGAACAGCGGAUGUUAAUGGAUUAUUAUAGGUAGAUAAAAUAAAUAAUUGUAUCAUGUAUCGUAGAAAAAUAAAUAAUUAGUCAGGUACACAAGUAUUAAUACUGUGUCAUGUUUCUUGAGCUGUUCUCACAUUUAAUCGCUAUCUCAUAUAUUUGAUUGCAUAUUUUAAAUUGACAUGUACAUAAUCACAAACCUUGACCUUCCUUUUGACAGAUUGGCGGGAAUUAGAGGGAGAUAAAUUUGCAAGACGUUAGAAGUUUGAUGAAAUGAAAGAGGACAACAUUUUACAUCUAUUGUAUAUGUUCAUGUAUUUUUCAUUUAAUAUUGCCCAACGAUUUGACAGAUGGCGGGAAUAAGACGGAAUCACAGUGUUGGCUGAUGAAGGCUGGUGAAAUAAAAAAGAACAACAUUUUACAUCUGUUUUUUGCCUUCUGUCCUUGGGCCAACUACAGUACUUCGUCCGUCAGUCGAAGUGACAAGUUUGUCAUCCUUAACAACAUAUUGUCUGUAGCGUCGGUACAGCUUAGUCCGUUCUUGUUCAGUCAUGUCGAUCCAAC
rnacentral:lncRNA from 1 species